rnacentral:rRNA from 1 species
GUGCCAGCCGCCGCGGUAAUACAGAGACUGCAAGCGUUGUUCGGAUUCACUGGGCGUAAAGGGUGCGCAGGCGGCCGGGUGUGUCGGGUGUGAAAGCUCGAGGCUUAACCUCGAAACUGCGCCCGAAACUAUCCGGCUAGAGUACUGGAGAGGGAAGCGGAAUUCACGGUGUAGCAGUGAAAUGCGUAGAUAUCGUGAGGAACACCAAUGGCGAAGGCAGCUUCCUGGACAGUUACUGACGCUCAGGCACGAAAGCGUGGGGAGCAAAAGGGAUUAGAUACCCCCGUAGUCC